rnacentral:rRNA from 1 species
GACGUAGGGGGCCAGCGUUGUUCGGAAUUACUGGGGGUAAAGGGUUCGUAGGCGGUGCGGCAAGUUGGGAGUGAAAUCUCUGGGCUUAACCCAGAGGCUGCUUCCAAAACUGCUGUGCUUGAGUGUGGGAGAGGCGCGUGGAAUUGCAGGUGUAGCGGUGAAAUGCGUAGAUAUCUGCAGGAACACCCGUGGCGAAAGCGGCGCGCUGGACCACUACUGACGCUGAGGAGCGAAAGCGUGGGGAGCAAACAGG